rnacentral:rRNA from 1 species
GAAUGAACGCUGGCGGCGCGCCUAAUACAUGCAAGUCGAGCGAGAAGACGUAGCAAUACGUUUGUAAAGCGGCGAACGGGUGAGGAAUACAUGGGUAACCUACCCUAGAGUGGGGAAUAACUAGCCGAAAGGUUAGCUAAUACCGCGUACGCUCCUUGGACUUCGGUUCAGGGAGGAAAGCGAUGCCGAGGGUAUCGCGCUCUUGGAUGGGCUCAUGUCCUAUCAGCUUGUGGUGAGGUAACGGCUCACCAAGGCUUCGACGGGUAGCUGGUCUGAGAGGACGAUCAGCCACACUGGCACUGCGACACGGGCCAGACUCCUACGGGAGGCAGCAGUAAGG